rnacentral:lncRNA from 10 species
CCUGUGCUGGUACGACUAUGUGGAGGUCCGAGAUGGCUUCUGGAGGAAGGCGCCCCUCCGAGGGCCCAACACUGGCCAGGGAUGACAACCUGGUAUGGGAGCCAGGAGUCCUGGCAUCAUUAGUCCCAGAUAGCUGCAUUACUCACUUGCUGCGAGACUUCAGGCCGCUUCUGCGGGUCCAAACUCCCUGAGCCUAUCGUCUCCACUGACAGCCGCCUCUGGGUUGAAUUCCGCAGCAGCAGCAAUUGGGUUGGAAAGGGCUUCUUUGCAGUCUACGAAGCCAUCUGCGGGGGUGAUGUGAAAAAGGACUAUGGCCACAUUCAAUCGCCCAACUACCCAGAC